CUCAAAAAAAAAACAAAAAACAAAAAAACCAAAGGACAGGAAGUAAACAGAGAUAUGAACUGUGUCCCCAUCAGGAUGGAGCCUAAAAAAGAACAGAUAAUGGGGGUCUGAGCUUCCUUCUGGAAUCAUUUUCCUAUUACCCAAGGAAAAUUGUUUGGUGUUCCCUUUAAUGGAAAUCUUUUAAAAAAUGUUUUCUGGCUUUAUUUAGUUAUCUAGUUUUUCGUUUGAUAACUUGCCUUUUGUUUUUAAAAUUUUCAUUUCUUUCCCUUAGUUUUCUGUAGUUUUAUUAACGUC